GGGGUGUUAGCUCAGCCGGUUAGAGCAGCGGACUCAUAAUCCGUCGGUCGCGGGUUCAAGUCCCGCACACCCCACCA
rnacentral:tRNA from 1 species